rnacentral:tRNA from 1 species
GAGGUUGUGACUCAGUGGUAGAGUACUUGCCUUGCAUGUGUGAGGCACUGGGUUCAAUUCUCAGCACCACA